AGAUUGAACGCUGGCGGCAUGCCUUACACAUGCAAGUCGAGCGGCAGCGCGGGGGCAACCCUGGCGGCGAGCGGCGAACGGGUGAGUAAUACAUCGGAACGUGUCCUUUUGUGGGGGAUAACCAGUCGAAAGACUGGCUAAUACCGCAUGAGAUCGCAAGAUGAAAGCAGGGGACCGCAAGGCCCUGCGCGAGAGGAGCGGCCGAUGUCGGAUUAGCUAGUUGGUGGGGUAACGGCCUACCAAGGCAACGAUCCGUAGCUGGUCUGAGAGGACGACCAGCCACACUGGGACUGAGACACGGCCCAGACUCCUACGGGAGGCAGCAGUGGGGAAUUUUGGACAAUGGGCGCAAGCCUGAUCCAGCCAUGCCGCGUGUGUGAAGAAGGCCGUUCGGUGUAAAGCACUUCGGACGGAACGAAUCGCGCGAGUUAAUAGUCGCGUGGAUGACGUACGUAAGAAGAAGACGACGACUAACUACGUGCCAGCAGA
rnacentral:rRNA from 1 species